GAUGAACGCUGGCGGCGUGCCUAACACAUGCAAGUCGAACGGAGAUUACGGACGGAAGUUUUCGGAUGGAAGACUGUAAUUCUUAGUGGCGGACGGGUGAGUAACGCGUGGGCAACCUGCCCUAUACGGGGGGAUAGCAGCUGGAAACGGCUGGUAAGACCGCAUAAGUCGGCGAGACCGCAUGGUUUUGCCGGGAAAUGAGCAAUCAGGUAUAGGAUGGGCCCGCGUCCGAUUAGCCAGUUGGCAGGGUAAAAGCCUACCAAAGCAACGAUCGGUAGCCGGACUGAGAGGUCGGACGGCCACAUUGGGACUGAGACACGGCCCAAACUCCUACGGGAGGCAGCAGUGGGGGAUAUUGCACAAUGGAGGAAACUCUGAUGCAGCGACGCCGCGUGAGUGAAGAAGUAUUUCGGUAUGUAAAGCUCUAUCAGCAGGGAAGAUGAUGACGGUACCUGACUAAGAAGCCCCGGCUAACUACGUG
rnacentral:rRNA from 1 species